rnacentral:rRNA from 1 species
GGUUAAGCGACUAAGCGUACACGGUGGAUGCCCUGGCAGUCAGAGGCGAUGAAGGACGUGCUAAUCUGCGAUAAGCGCCGGUAAGGUGAUAUGAACCGUUAUAACCGGCGAUUUCCGAAUGGGGAAACCCAGUGUGACUCGUCACACUAUCAUUAACUGAAUCCAUAGGUUAAUGAGGCGAACCGGGGGAACUGAAACAUCUAAGUACCCCGAGGAAAAGAAAUCAACCGAGAUUCCCCCAGUAGCGGCGAGCGAACGGGGAGGAGCCCAGAGCCUGAAUCAGCAUGUGUGUUAGUGGAAGCGUCUGGAAAGGCGCGCGAUACAGGGUGACAGCCCCGUACACAAAAGCGCAUGUGCUGUGAGCUCGAUGAGUAGGGCGGGACACGUGGUAUCCUGUCUGAAUAUGGGGGGACCAUCCUCCAAGGCUAAAUACUCCUGACUGACCGAUAGUGAACCAGUACCGUGAGGGAAAGGCGAAAAGAACCCCGGCGAGGGGAGUGAAAAAGAACCUGAAACCGUGUACGUACAAGCAGUGGGAGCACAGGUUUACCUGUGUGACUGCGUACCUUUUGUAUAAUGGGUCAGCGACUUAUAUUCUGUAGCAAGGUUAACCGAAUAGGGGAGCCGGAGGGAAACCGAGUCUUAAUUGGGCGUUAAGUUGCAGGGUAUAGACCCGAAACCCGGUGAUCUAGCCAUGGGCAGGUUGAAGGUUGGGUAACACUAACUGGAGGACCGAACCGACUAAUGUUGAAAAAUUAGCGGAUGACCUGUGGCUGGGGGUGAAAGGCCAAUCAAACCGGGAGAUAGCUGGUUCUCCCCGAAAGCUAUUUAGGUAGCGCCUCGUGAAUUCAUCUCCGGGGGUAGAGCACUGUUUCGGCUAGGGGGCCAUCCCGGCUUACCAACCCGAUGCAAACUGCGAAUACCGGAGAAUGUUAUCACGGGAGACACACGGCGGGUGCUAACGUCCGUCGUGAAGAGGGAAACAACCCAGACCGCCAGCUAAGGUCCCAAAGUCAUGGUUAAGUGGGAAACGAUGUGGGAAGGCCCAGACAGCCAGGAUGUUGGCUUAGAAGCAGCCAUCAUUUAAAGAAAGCGUAAUAGCUCACUGGUCGAGUCGGCCUGCGCGGAAGAUGUAACGGGGCUAAACCAUGCACCGAAGCUGCGGCAGCGAACGUAUCACUUAAAGCGAUUCAGCGGGUUACGAUUGACGGAGCGAAGCGACGUCAAAGCGUAUACAAAGUCGAGUCGGUUUAAGGAUACGUUCGUUGGGUAGGGGAGCGUUCUGUAAGCCUGUGAAGGUGUGUCGUGAGGCAUGCUGGAGGUAUCAGAAGUGCGAAUGCUGACAUAAGUAACGAUAAAGCGGGUGAAAAGCCCGCUCGCCGGAAGACCAAGGGUUCCUGUCCAACGUUAAUCGGGGCAGGGUGAGUCGACCCCUAAGGCGAGGCCGAAAGGCGUAGUCGAUGGGAAACGGGUUAAUAUUCCCGUACUUGGUGUUACUGCGAAGGGGGGACGGAGAAGGCUAUGUUGGCCGGGCGACGGUUGUCCCGGUUUAAGCGUGUAGGUGUGUGUUCCAGGUAAAUCCGGUUCACUUUAACACUGAGGCGUGAUGACGAGGCACUACGGUGCUGAAGCAACAAAUGCCCUGCUUCCAGGAAAAGCCUCUAAGCAUCAGGUAACAUCAAAUCGUACCCCAAACCGACACAGGUGGUCAGGUAGAGAAUACCAAGGCGCUUGAGAGAACUCGGGUGAAGGAACUAGGCAAAAUGGUGCCGUAACUUCGGGAGAAGGCACGCUGACAUGUAGGUGAAGUGAUUUACUCAUGGAGCUGAAGUCAGUCGAAGAUACCAGCUGGCUGCAACUGUUUAUUAAAAACACAGCACUGUGCAAACACGAAAGUGGACGUAUACGGUGUGACGCCUGCCCGGUGCCGGAAGGUUAAUUGAUGGGGUCAGCGCAAGCGAAGCUCCUGAUCGAAGCCCCGGUAAACGGCGGCCGUAACUAUAACGGUCCUAAGGUAGCGAAAUUCCUUGUCGGGUAAGUUCCGACCUGCACGAAUGGCGUAAUGAUGGCCAGGCUGUCUCCACCCGAGACUCAGUGAAAUUGAACUCGCUGUGAAGAUGCAGUGUACCCGCGGCAAGACGGAAAGACCCCGUGAACCUUUACUAUAGCUUGACACUGAACAUUGAGCCUUGAUGUGUAGGAUAGGUGGGAGGCUUUGAAGCGUGGACGCCAGUCUGCGUGGAGCCGACCUUGAAAUACCACCCUUUAAUGUUUGAUGUUCUAACGUGGACCCGUAAUCCGGGUUGCGGACAGUGUCUGGUGGGUAGUUUGACUGGGGCGGUCUCCUCCUAAAGAGUAACGGAGGAGCACGAAGGUUGGCUAAUCCUGGUCGGACAUCAGGAGGUUAGUGCAAUGGCAUAAGCCAGCUUGACUGCGAGCGUGACGGCGCGAGCAGGUGCGAAAGCAGGUCAUAGUGAUCCGGUGGUUCUGAAUGGAAGGGCCAUCGCUCAACGGAUAAAAGGUACUCCGGGGAUAACAGGCUGAUACCGCCCAAGAGUUCAUAUCGACGGCGGUGUUUGGCACCUCGAUGUCGGCUCAUCACAUCCUGGGGCUGAAGUAGGUCCCAAGGGUAUGGCUGUUCGCCAUUUAAAGUGGUACGCGAGCUGGGUUUAGAACGUCGUGAGACAGUUCGGUCCCUAUCUGCCGUGGGCGCUGGAGAACUGAGGGGGGCUGCUCCUAGUACGAGAGGACCGGAGUGGACGCAUCACUGGUGUUCGGGUUGUCAUGCCAAUGGCACUGCCCGGUAGCUAAAUGCGGAAGAGAUAAGUGCUGAAAGCAUCUAAGCACGAAACUUGCCCCGAGAUGAGUUCUCCCUGAGACUUAGAGUCUCCUGAAGGAACGUUGAAGACGACGACGUUGAUAGGCCGGGUGUGUAAGCGCAGCGAUGCGUUGAGCUAACCGGUACUAAUGAACCGUGAGGCUUAACCUU